UACUGUCGGUGAUGAGACCACGGAACUAGCGUCAGGCAUGGCGCCUGAUACUUAUGAGGAAUUCUUCCAUGCUGCCUUCCUUCUGAGACCUCG
ensembl:snoRNA